CCUACGGGAGGCAGCAGUGGGGGAUAUUGCACAAUGGGGGGAACCCUGAUGCAGCGACGUCGCGUGGGUGAAGAAGCGCCUCGGCGCGGUAAGCCUCGUUAGUAGGGAAGAAAAUGACGGUACCUGAAGCAGAAGCCACGGCUAACUACGUGACAGCAGCCGCGGUAACACGUCGGGGGCCAGCGUUAUCCGGAUUUAUUGGGGUUAAAGGGUGCGUAGGCGGUCGGAUAAGUUAGUGGUGAAAGCUCGAGGCUCAACUUCGGAAUUGCCUCUGAUACUGUUCGGCUAGAGAGUAGUUGCGGUAGGCGGAAUGUGUGGUGUAGCGGUGAAAUGCUUAGAUAUCACGCAGAACACCGAUUGCGAAGGCAGCUUACCAAGCUACUUCUGACGUUGAGGCACGAAAGCGUGGGGAGCAAACAGGAUUAGAUACCCUGGUAGUC
rnacentral:rRNA from 1 species